GACGAACGCUGGCGGCGUGCUUAACACAUGCAAGUCGAACGGAAAGGCCCUGCUUUUGUGGGGUGCUCGAGUGGCGAACGGGUGAGUAACACGUGAGUAACCUGCCCUUGACUUUGGGAUAACUUCAGGAAACUGGGGCUAAUACCGGAUAGGAGCUCCUGCUGCAUGGUGGGGGUUGGAAAGUUUCGGCGGUUGGGGAUGGACUCGCGGCUUAUCAGCUUGUUGGUGGGGUAGUGGCUUACCAAGGCUUUGACGGGUAGCCGGCCUGAGAGGGUGACCGGCCACAUUGGGACUGAGAUACGGCCCAGACUCCUACGGGAGGCAGCAGUGGGGAAUAUUGCACAAUGGGCGGAAGCCUGAUGCAGCAACGCCGCGUGCGGGAUGACGGCCUUCGUGUUGUAAACCGCUUUCGCCUGUGACGAAGCGUGAGUGACGGUAAUGGGUAAAGAAGCACCGGCUAACUACGUGCCAGCAGCCGCGGUGAUACGUAGGGUGCGAGCGUUGUCCGGAUUUAUUGGGCGUAAAGGGCUCGUAGGUGGUUGAUCGCGUCGGAAGUGUAAUCUUGGGGCUUAACCCUGAGCGUGCUUUCGAUACGGGUUGACUUGAGGAAGGUAGGGGAGAAUGGAAUUCCUGGUGGAGCGGUGGAAUGCGCAGAUAUCAGGAGGAACACCAGUGGCGAAGGCGGUUCUCUGGGCCUUUCCUGACGCUGAGGAGCGAAAGCGUGGGGAGCGAACAGGCUUAGAUACCCUGGUAGUCCACGCUGUAAACGGUGGGUACUAGGUGUGGGGUCCAUUCCACGGGUUCCGUGCCGUAGCUAACGCUUUAAGUACCCCGCCUGGGGAGUACGGCCGCAAGGCUAAAACUCAAAGGAAUUGACGGGGCCCCGCACAAGCGGCGGAGCAUGCGGAUUAAUUCGAUGCAACGCGUAGAACCUUACCUGGGUUUGACAUGGAUCGGGAGUGCUCAGAGAUGGGUGUGCCUCUUUUGGGGUCGGUUCACAGGUGGUGCAUGGCUGUCGUCAGCUCGUGUCGUGAGAUGUUGGGUUAAGUCCCGCAACGAGCGCAACCCUUGUUCACUGUUGCCAGCACGUUAUGGUGGGGACUCAGUGGAGACCGCCGGGGUCAACUCGGAGGAAGGUGGGGAUGACGUCAAGUCAUCAUGCCCCUUAUGUCCAGGGCUUCACGCAUGCUACAAUGGCUGGUACAGAGAGUGGCGAGCCUGUGAGGGUGAGCGAAUCUCGGAAAGCCGGUCUCAGUUCGGAUUGGGGUCUGCAACUCGACCUCAUGAAGUCGGAGUCGCUAGUAAUCGCAGAUCAGCAACGCUGCGGUGAAUACGUUCCCGGG
rnacentral:rRNA from 1 species